AUGGUUUCUAAGACUUCACCUGAACAACAGCAACUUUGCAAAAGGAGGAGACGCGGCCUUGAUGGUUUCCAGGACUUCACGUGAAGAGGAGGAUCUUCGCGCUUCAGAAACCACGGGGAGGACACGGCCCCCCCCCGCGCCUGCUACCACAGGACCCACUCCGAUGAUCCAGGCCCCCGACAACGGGUGGGAUUCGAACCAAUCUCCUGCGACUUCCAGUCGCGGUUGAA